rnacentral:rRNA from 1 species
UAACGCGUGAGGAACCUGCCUUCCAGAGGGGGACAACAGUUGGAAACGACUGCUAAUACCGCAUGACACAUUUGAAUCGCAUGGUUUGAAUGUCAAAGAUUUAUCGCUGGAAGAUGGCCUCGCGUCUGAUUAGCUAGUUGGUAGGGUAACGGCCUACCAAGGCGACGAUCAGUAGCCGGACUGAGAGGUUGACCGGCCACAUUGGGACUGAGAUACGGCCCAGACUCCUACGGGAGGCAGCAG